rnacentral:sRNA from 2 species
CACUGUUCCAAGCUCAUCAUGUGUUGCUGAUCAUAAUACACACUACGUCAUUAUAUUCAAUGAUAUAUUGUGAGUUAUAGCCAUUAUAUUGAUGUUGCAAAAGUAAUGUAGCUCUAUCAGGUGCUGCGUAUAAGUUUCAGUGUUGGGCGCGAUGGCUUCCCGGCAGCUGUCAUACUAUGGUAGUCCUUUUGACCUAGAUGGUCAACACCGUAUGCCCAGCCGGGUGCCUCGUCAUUACAGGAAAUGCCGUUAAAAUAUUGUGGAUGUCAUCUUCAAAGAUACCAAUCAAGCCUUUUCGUUCGAAUUUGAAAUUCAUACGACUCUCGUAGAAGUGGUGGUUGCACAGUGGUUGAUUACAUAAAAAUAUAAAUACAUGGCAUCCGGUAGUUGCUAGUAUGCUUUUCCAUUGAAAGAUACUGUACAACUAACAUUCUGAUAAUCUUAGUAUAGAAACAAAAUCAGAGCAUCUUAAUCAUCACUUUUCAGAGCCCC